AACGAACGCUGGCGGCAGGCUUAACACAUGCAAGUCGAGCGCCCCGCAAGGGGAGCGGCAGACGGGUGAGUAACGCGUGGGAAUCUACCCAUCUCUACGGAAUAACGCAUGGAAACGUGUGCUAAUACCGUAUACGUCCGUCGGGAGAAAGAUUUAUCGGAGAUGGAUGAGCCCGCGUUGGAUUAGCUAGUUGGUGGGGUAAAGGCCUACCAAGGCGACGAUCCAUAGCUGGUCUGAGAGGAUGAUCAGCCACACUGGGACUGAGACACGGCCCAGACUCCGACGUGAGGCAGCAGUGGGGAAUAUUGGACAAUGGGCGCAAGCCUGAUCCAGCCAUGCCGCGUGAGUGAUGAAGGCCCUAGGGUUGUAAAGCUCUUUCACCGGUGAAGAUAAUGACGGUAACCGGAGAAGAAGCCCCGGCUAACUUCGUGCCAGCCGCCGCCGUAAGAC
rnacentral:rRNA from 1 species